rnacentral:lncRNA from 1 species
AUUCCCUUAUGGCCCCAGCAGUUGGUGCCUCCUAUUGGUGGUAGUUCCUUCUCCCAGAUCCUGUAAGCCAGGGGCUAUGUCAGGAGCUAAGGACAUGAUGGCUGAGAAGAACUAUGCACAGGACAAACAAGCAGGAGACAGGGUUCUGGGAGAGAAGGUGAGCUCACUUUUGCAGAUGACUCUGCUCACUGGCCACACCGUGCUCUAUAAACACCCUGCACCAUCUGUGAUGUCAGUCGCCAGCCGCCUGGAGAAUCUGCCCUGCUCUGGGAGCUUGUAUUAAAACACUCACUUAUAACUCGCUAUUAAUUUUUCACGAGGAGUUAUUUUUAACUCGCUCAAACCAUUGUCUGAAUAUGCCAAAUAUAUUUUCU